GCACACAACACACACACACACACAUAUAUAUACACACUGUAUGUUUCAAUAUCUCUCUCUCACACACUGCAGUCUGCACAAGCUAGAAUUGGUGAAUGGCGAUACAAUAUAAUCAUCUAACAUGAGAUGAUAAACGCCAAAAUCUCUGUUGCUAGCUUCCCAAACGUAAAUCAAACGCUUCUCUGAAAUAAAUCGUAGUGAUCCGAUUAUUUUUUUGUAAAUCUACUUCUACGCUUAGCUUACCCCUGCGGCUAACCUCCGACGAAAUACUUGCGAUUUUUGAGCUGAAGAAGUUGUAAAAAGAAAAUAGAGAUAAAAAUAAAAAAUUGGGAGUGAAGAAGUGGCCAGCCGAGCACGAACAAGGCAAGAUUUAACUAUAGAGGAUGGAUAAUUUUCUACGCGUUUAGAGAGAGAAAGCCAACCUUCCCCGCCCGCCUCCGCCUGCCUGCCGCCGCGCUCGCCGGAGAAAUCCGAGCUCGUUUAUGGAAAUUCUUCUCAGAGAUACAAAAACAGAUCCUUCUCUUCAUUUAAUUCGAAUUCGCGUUUUAGGAUAUCAAGGGAGCUGAAAAUGGACGAUCGCAAUCCAUCGCCGCCGCCGGACCGCCGCCUCCGCCGUCACGAAGACGGCGGCGGGCGGGCGGCGUGCACGGGGAAGUCGUGCCAGUCGUGCACGGCGGGGGCGCUCGCCGACUGCGUGGCGCUGUGCUGCUGCCCGUGCGCGGUGGUGGACUGCUUCGUGCUGGCGCUCUUCAAGCUGCCGUGGGCGGUGGCGCGCCGCUGCCUGCGGAGGAGCCGGCGGCGGGUGGUGGAGGGGAGGGGCAGGGACAUUAUCGGGGAUCCGGAGAAGGAGCGGGCGGAUGGCGGAAUGUUUGAAAUCGUCGUGUCGGCCGCCGCCGGAGAAGGGGCGGCGGAAUAUAUAAGCGCGGAGGAGCUGUGGUUGGAGCUGGCGGAGGUUGGCCAUUUGGGUUUUGGGAGGGUUUCUUCUGCAAGGACUAAUUUUUACACCAAGGGCAAUUGAGGAUGCAGAUUCGGAUCAGGAUGCAGCUCAGGGUGUGAGUGCGGGUCAACCCGGCUGUACGGUACACCCAAUUAUACUUAAGUUUUUGAGAAAUUUUAAAUGUAUGCAGAUCAGGAGAGGAAGUUAUUCAACCAACAACUCACUAGGAACCAGACUUCAUUCACAAAGUGACAUUCAAUUAUCAAGUAAAAAAAUUGAUUUAGAAUUCAUUGAACAGAUAGUACAAGAUGAAGAAUCAUUGCUUGACAAAAUGUUCUUUUUGCUCAAGUUUUCUUUUGUAUGGAUUCUAUAUUGAAGCAAUUUCUAAUAAAAAAUUGACACCUUUAAUAGA